UACGUAGGGUGCGAGCGUUAAUCGGAAUUACUGGGCGUAAAGCGUGCGCAGGCGGUUUUGUAAGCCAGAUGUGAAAUCCCCGGGCUUAACCUGGGAAUGGCAUUUGGGACUGCAAGGCUGGAGUGUGGCAGAGGAGACUGGAAUUCCUGGUGUAGCAGUGAAAUGCGUAGAUAUCAGGAGGAAUACCGAUGGCGAAGGCAGGUCUCUGGGCUGACACUGACGCUCAUGCACGAAAGCGUGGGGGCAAACAGG
rnacentral:rRNA from 1 species